rnacentral:rRNA from 1 species
UACGGAGGGUGCAAGCGUUGUCCGGAAUUAUUGGGCGUAAAGAGCUCGUAGGCGGUUUGUCGCGUCUGCUGUGAAAACGCGAGGCUCAACCUCGCGCCUGCAGUGGGUACGGGCAGACUAGAGUGCGGUAGGGGAGAUUGGAAUUCCUGGUGUAGCGGUGGAAUGCGCAGAUAUCAGGAGGAACACCGAUGGCGAAGGCAGAUCUCUGGGCCGUAACUGACGCUGAGGAGCGAAAGCGUGGGGAGCGAACAGG